rnacentral:rRNA from 1 species
AUUGAACGCUGGCGGAAUGCUUUACACAUGCAAGUCGAACGGUAGAGGGGGCAACCCCUCGAGAGUGGCGAACGGGUGAGUAAUAUAUCGGAACGUGCCCAGUCGUGGGGGAUAACGUAGCGAAAGUUACGCUAAUACCGCAUACGAUCUAAGGAUGAAAGCGGGGGAUCGCAAGACCUCGCGCGAUUGCAGCGGCCGAUAUCAGAUUAGGUAGUUGGUGGGGUAAAGGCUCACCAAGCCAACGAUCUGUAGCUGGUCUGAGAGGACGACCAGCCACACUGGAACUGAGACACGGUCCAGACUCCUACGGGAGGCGGCAGUGGGGAAUUUUGGACAAUGGACGCAAGUCUGAUCCAGCCACUCCGCGUGCAGGAUGAAGGCCCUCGGGUUGUAAACUGCUUUUGUACGGAACGAAAAGGUCUCUCUUAAUACGGGGGGCUCAUGACGGUACCGUAAGAAUAAGCACCGGCUAACUACGUGCCAGCCGCCGCAGUAA